GAAAACCUAGACGUCCAGAGUGUGCGUGAUCAUGCAGCCUGGCUCCUCCUGUGACUAGUUAGAGCUUUAUUAAGAGCUAAAAGACAAGGAUGCUGAUAUUCCAUCCUGGGGACAGCAAAAUAGUAUUUUCCCAGCCCUUAGGAAUCCUUUCUGUUUGUGUAAGGUUUAUUCGCUUGCUCUGAGCUCUCAACUGAAGAAGGGGAGAAUUUGCCUACCAGAAGUUAUUUGGCUAAGGCCCACGUGGAAGCUUAAAAAACAGGAGAGCUGAGUAUCUGCAAGAAUUAAUUUGUGCGAUUCCCUCUGAGUAGAAAAGGAACACGGUGUUAUAAGUUUUGCUGAACGAAUAGAUUUAAGGUGUCCCUUUAGCUAAGAGCAAUGUGGUCUAGUUGUGUGUAGCGAGAAAAAAGGGUAAGGUUUUUAAUGGUUUGUCCAAAGUAGCCCCACUUUUAUGUUCCACCCGAGUCUCCGUAGGAAACGCAACCAGUAGUGAAAAUGAACAGAUGUGAAAACCAGGGUGGAACCGAAUAUUCCCAUUCUCAGACCUUUUGUGAUUAAAUUUAUCUCUGAAUUGUUCCCUAUGGACUCUUCUGAAAAUGAAACGUUAUUCUCAUCCCACUUAUUUUGACAUUUAUUUACUACCUUGUUUUAAUUAAAAUCUUGGCUCUA